AGAAGAGAUUCUUUGGGUGCCCACAACGAACUAGAGAGGAUCCAGGGGGUUUCUGUCCCAGAUGGAUCUCCCUAAACUUCUCGGAGCGAAUUCGGAAGUCCUGCAAAAACUGAAGAAGUGGACGCAGCCAUAUCUGCGUUAAAAAGCAAUAAAGCACCAGGCCCGCAUAGCUUCGAAGGAAGCUAUUACAAAAUCCUUCGGGAGGAACAUGUGCAUCACUUGGAAUCUUGGUGCAACAAUCUCAUGGAGGUGGGAACACCAGACGGAGACAUGUCCCUGGCAGACAUAGUUUUACUACCAAAACCUGGUAGGGAUGAUGCGAUUCCUGAAAACUUCCGCCCCAUCUCCCUGAUAAACCAUGGUUCUAAAAUUCUAAAAAAAAAUCUUAGCGAGCAGACUGAAUCCGAUUCUUCCCAGGCUGGUCCACCCAGAUCAGGUGGGAUUUGUGCCGGGAAGACAACUAUUCGAAAACACAAGAUGUAGCAUCGACCUGAUCUGGAGAUAGGCCACUAG